rnacentral:rRNA from 1 species
GUGGGGAAUCUUCCACAAUGGACGAAAGUCUGAUGGAGCAACGCCGCGUGAGUGAAGAAGGGUUUCGGCUCGUAAAGCUCUGUUGUCGGGGACGAAUGUGCAGUAUUUGAAUAAAGUACUGCAAUGACGGUACCUGACGAGGAAGCCACGGCUAACUACGUGCCAGCAGCCGCGGUAAUACGUAGGUGGCAAGCGUUGUCCGGAAUUAUUGGGCGUAAAGGGAGCGCAGGCGGGAAGGUAAGUCGGUCUUAAAAGUGCGGGGCUCAACCCCGUGAUGGGAUCGAAACUAUCUUUCUUGAGUGCAGGAGAGGAAAGUGGAAUUCCUAGUGUAGCGGUGAAAUGCGUAGAUAUUAGGAGGAAUACCAGUGGCGAAGGCGACUUUCUGGACUGUAACUGACGCUGAGGCUCGAAAGCCAGGGGAGCGAACGGGAUUAGAUACCCUGGUAGUCC